rnacentral:rRNA from 1 species
UACGUAGGUGACAAGCGUUGUCCGGAUUUACUGGGCGUAAAGAGCGCGCAGGCGGUCGAUCAAGUCGAGUGUGAAAGCCCCCGGCUCAACUGGGGAGGGUCAUUCGAUACUGAUCGACUCGAAGGCAGGAGAGGGUAGUGGAAUUCCCGGUGUAGUGGUGAAAUGCGCAGAUAUCAGGAGGAACACCAAUAGCGAAGGCGGGUCUCUGGGCCGAUACUGACGCUGAGGAGCGAAAGCGUGGGGAGCGAACAGG